AAUGAACGUUGGCGGCGUGCCUAACACAUGCAAGUCGAACGCUAGUAGCAAUAUUAGAGUGGCGCACGGGUGAGUAACACGUAGCUUACCCACCUCCCAGCGCGGGAUAACGGUUCGAAAGAACUGCUAAUACCGCAUAAGCUCACGGCCUGUAGAGGGCUGCGAGAAAAGGCGCAAGUCACUGGGAGACGGGGCUGCGGCCCAUCAGCUCGUUGGUGAGGAACGGCUUACCAAGGCGACGACGGGUAGGGACCU
rnacentral:rRNA from 1 species